UUCACAUUUGAGUUGCAUCAUGCUAACGAGACAUUGCAAAUGAUCUUUAAUUUGGUGCAGCAUAACUCCCGACAAGCAUCGACGUCUGCCAUUGGCGCGAGCAAGAACCCCGAUCCUCCUCCGUCUGCCACUACCGCGAGCAAGAACCUCGAUCCUUCACCUAUGGGUUGACGAUUUGCUUCAGAUCACGGAAGCUUGGGUUGAUGGAGUGCUUGUCUUUAGUUUUUGUUUUGACUUUGUGAAACUUGCUACCUAUGAUGAAACUAUGUAUAUGUAUGGAUGAAACUUGCUACUAUUGGUAACAUGUGUUGGAUAUAUAUGUGUUCAUGACCAUUGGUAAUAUGUGUUGAAUA